GCGCCGUUAGCUCAACCCGGCAGAGCAGGGGACUCUUAAUCCCAAGGUUGAAGGUUCGAUUCCUUCACGGCGCACCA
rnacentral:tRNA from 1 species